UAAUGCCGGAUGCUCCGACUCCUCGCAUGGGGUGUCGGGAAAGAUUAUAUCGGUAUGGGAUGGGGUCGCGUCCUAUCAGGUAGUCGGCGGGGUAACGGCCCACCGAGCCUACGACGGGUAGCCGGCCUGAGAGGGCGACCGGCCACAUUGGGACUGAGAUACGGCCCAGACUCCUACGGGAGGCAGCAGUGGGGAAUAUUGCACAAUGGGCGCAAGCCUGAUGCAGCGACGCCGCGUGCGGGAUGACGGCCUUCGGGUUGUAAACCGCUUUUGAUCGGGAGCAAGCCUUCGGGUGAGUGUACCUUUCGAAUAAGCACCGGCUAACUACGUGCCAGCAGCCGCGGUAAUACGUAGGGUGCAAGCGUUAUCCGGAAUUAUUGGGCGUAAAGGGCUCGUAGGCGGUUCGUCGCGUCCGGUGUGAAAGUCCAUCGCUUAACGGUGGAUCUGCGCCGGGUACGGGCGGGCUGGAGUGCGGUAGGGGAGACUGGAAUUCCCGGUGUAACGGUGGAAUGUGUAGAUAUCGAAAAAGAACACC
rnacentral:rRNA from 1 species